UAUUGAACGCCACUGCAGCUGGCUGCUUUGUUCAACAUCGAUCCCGUGGAGCUUGGCAUUUAACGGCCUGCAUUAGGACGGAGAGAAGGGAGAAAACAUUUUGUCAAUACCUCUAAUAAUUGAGGGUGAAAUGACAAGAUAAGCUGGACCUGGAGCAAAUGUCUUUCGAGGUGAAUGUAGACAGCAGCGAUGCAGGCCACUGGUCUCCAUCUCUCCAUCCAGUCCCCUUCUCUCCUCUCCAUCUCCCUCUUCAUACCCACUCUACCCCACUCUUCCUUUCCCCUCAACCCUGCUCCCUCUCCCUAACCCCACACCUCUCUCUCUCUCCCCUCUGCCACCCAUUCUCUCCCCUUGUUUCCUUCCCCCCUUCCUCCUCUUCCUCAUCCUCCCCCACACACACAUAGGUACGCCUCCAUCCCCUCUUGGCACCUCCGUCUCCCCCUCCCUCCACCUCCAUCCCCACCCCCGUCCUUCUCCUCCCUCUCCCUGGUUGGUUUCCACAGCUGCGGUGAGUGAGGGGCAGAUGACCGGAGAAUUGGCCCCUGGGAGAGCGCUGAGCCAUCCUGGUGCUAUUAGGCUCGUGGCUAAUAAUAGGUGUUUCAGACCGGGGGAAGAUCAAUCAGGGGGAAUCAUGGGGAAUGUUCGGAGCAGCGCUUUUUACACAUCGGCCCAGAUGGAUGAAAUUACACUUGUCAGUUUUUAGUUGCAUUACUCCCAAAUUGGUUGUCUACUCGUUUUUUUCCCUCCCUUCCCUCCCUCCCUCGCGCUCUCUCCUCUCUCCUUUCUCUCUCUUUGCCCUCAUUCAUGUGUCAGUGGCCUACUAAAAGGAUUCAGUGGUGAAAUCCCUGUCAUUUUUGUCUUUUCCCCUGUUUAGCCCCUCAGCCAGCAACUGUUUCCUGCAUAUGCACUUAGAAGAAAUCAGUUAAAGAUCUUGUCUUAGAGCUUUGACAAUUUCCAAGUCAAAGGCAAGUGUAUGACAGAAAUGUCCAAGUCGUCAUGUGCAUGUGUUCUGUGUCUGUAUAAAGGCUGCGAAUAUUUUAAGUGUAAAGUUGAUUUGUACAAAUUUGUCUGUUCAAUGUCUAAAGCCUGACAAUGCAUGUGUGUAAUGCAAUUUCUGUGGCUGUGGGUUGUGUCUUCAUGUUCCAAAGUUGAAUAAAACCCUCAAAUA